UACGUAGGGUGCAAGCGUUAAUCGGAAUUACUGGGCGUAAAGCGUGCGCAGGCGGUUUUGUAAGUCUGUCGUGAAAUCCCCGGGCUCAACCUGGGAAUGGCGAUGGAGACUGCAAGGCUAGAGUUUGGCAGAGGGGGGUAGAAUUCCACGUGUAGCAGUGAAAUGCGUAGAUAUGAUGGAGGAACACCGAUGGCGAAGGCAGCCCCCUGGGUCAAAACUGACGCUCAUGCACGAAAGCGUGGGGAGCAAACAGG
rnacentral:rRNA from 1 species